UUGUAAGUCAGAUGUGAAAGCCUUCUGUUCAACGGAAGAAUUGCAUCUGAAACUACAAACCUUGAGUAUAGGAGGGGAGAGUGGAACUUCUGGUGGAGCGGUGAAAUGCGUAGAUAUCAGAAGGAACGCCGGCGGCGAAAGCGACUCUCUGGCCUAUUACUGACACUGAGUGUGCGAAAGCUAGGGGAGCAAACGGGAUUAGAUACCCCGGUAGUCCUAGCCGUAAACGAUGGGCACUAAGUAG
rnacentral:rRNA from 1 species